GGAGGUUAGGUGUUAAUUAUUGACCAGUGGGAUGAGAGCUAUGCUGCAGGCUGAAAAAUGGCUGCCAUACGGACCAGCUUUCCACCUUGUGGCACCAAGAAGUUUGCUCCUAGGACUUUGCUGUCAGGUCAAAACGCUGUUUGUCAGUGGCUUGCCACUUGACAUCAAACCUCGAGAGCUUUAUCUCCUCUUCCGACCAUUUAAGGGAUAUGAAGGUUCCCUGAUCAAACUCACUUCUAAGCAGCCUGUUGGAUUCGUCAGCUUUGACAGCCGAUCCGAGGCCGAAGCGGCGAAGAAUGCUCUGAACGGUGUCCGGUUCGACCCAGAAAUCCCCCAGACCUUGAGGCUGGAGUUUGCUAAGGCCAACACCAAGAUGGCCAAGAACAAGUUGGUGGGCACGCCCAAUCCCCCCCUGUCCCAGCAGAGCACUGGGCCCCCGUUCAUCAGCAGAGACCCCUACGAACUCACGGUCCCUGCGCUUUACCCCGGCAGCCCUGACGUGUGGACCCCCUACCCCCUGUACCCUGGAGAGCUGUCACCCGCCCUUCCUCCUGCUUUCACCUACCCCUCUUCUCUGCACGCUCAGAUUCGCUGGAUCCCUCCCGCCGAUGCCGCCCCCCAGGGAUGGAAAUCGAGGCAGUUCUGCUGAAAUUGGGGGUCCUGAUGUGUGAUGGUGACAGCAGCUGGUCUUGAUGGUGUUGAUCUGAAGCCAAACUGGGAGGAUAUCUGACCCAGCUGACAAUACUGUUGGCAACGGGUCGCUCUCUGGAGUUCAGGACCUUCAAGACCUCUAUCACACAUCUCCCCCCCCCUCCCCCUCCCCCCGAGAAUGCCUGUACCCCCUGCCCCUUUUAUACCGUUACAUGCUGAAAGAUUAUUAUUGUUAUUAUAACUAUUGUUGUUGUUAUUAGAACUACUAUUAAAAUAUCACUCGAAGCAUAAUUUUGCCAAAACAAUGCUGUACAUUUUAGGACAUUUUGAAGAGAACAAACAAAAGCAAAAGGUAUUUUUGUAUGAAACUGAGAUUUUCGUCGUGUUGUAAUCGACCCCAUAUUUAAACGUCCCCUACAACGGGAGAGCAGUUACUGAGUCACGUUAACGUCAGUGGAAAGGGGAUCGACUCGCACGCACGAGACUGACGGGCAUCCUGAUCCAGCGUUAUUCAGCUACGCCCGGGUGCGGAUCCCGUACCGCAAACCUGGAAAUGACCACCCAGGGUGUCCAGGGGUCGCUUGGGAAGCCAGCAGGCAAAUGGCAGGAGGUACGUUUCCAGAAGAACGGACUGGGACGACGUUCGGGAACACGUCUGCGAGAUGGGAGCCACGGCCAGUGACCACCUGUACAAUUUUACGAUACGGGACUUUCAUUGUGUUAUUGGAGGAUCGAGGACCCCAUCUUGGGCGGGCAAGGACCGGACAGGACUGGGUCCACAACCUGUCAACUCACAAGCCAUUUAAACUGUUCCCCCCCAAGAGUAACCUGAUUUGGAAACGUCAAGUCAUUGGCAUGGUGGAUCUCCUUUUGGCUGACAGAUUUAUGGAUGCCGGAAUUAUCCAUCUUAUCUGCAGGUGGUUAGUUGAGGCGGUCUGCGCCUGUGGAGGUUUUGGCCGGCCCCGGUGAGCAUGUGGCCCGGUGCGGCCCUUCUGGUCAAACGGGCAUCACCAGACGAAAGCCUUGCAGUCUCUACACAGCCAGAUAGCCCUUUAGUGGAAAUCAUUGUUUUACCAUCACGGGGGGCAAAAUAUUCAAUUCCUUCAUGAGGCGUGCCUUUCCCAUCUCUCUUAAGUCGCUGUACCUCACACGUCGGUGUGCGCAGACCUUAAAAUAACUUGUGUAUUUUUAGACUUGAACUCCCAAGCAAAUCUUCAUUUUAUUUGUUCCAUAAUUAAUAAGGACUCAGAUCAGCUGCCAAAACAAACUCCCGUGAAGCUGCUCUGACUCCUCACACGGACUCGAGGCAGUCGCAGCACAUACGUUUCGUGGAGCGCCAUCAAACAACUUUGCCGGAAUAAGAAAGCUAUUAUAAACUGCAUAUGAAUUAGAUCUGCCAACUUAAAACCUUUUACUACAGCUAUAAUGAUCAAGUCAAGAAAUCUGUACAUAGAGCUGUUAGAACUGAAUCCUAAUUUGUUACUGAUGGGGCUCAUUGGGGCUGUGACCGGAAGGUGGAUGGAUGGAACAGUUUCCUGUAAAUUAAGAAACGAUCGUUUGUCAUGUGUAUGUCCAGAUUUUUUUUUUAAGCAGUAAAGUCUCCAGCUACUCAAAGCAGCCAAAUUAGAGAGGUCAUGAUUGGGUCUGUAUAACAUGGGCGUGUUUUUUAAUCAUCUAAACCAAAUAAAGAUGCCAGUUGCAGUAGCUUAUAAGGGGUCGUCGUGGUUACUGGUGUCCUUUGGCCUCGAGUGUUUUCUUCUUCCUGAGGAAAGGGGACUGUUCUGGCAAUCAGGCUUGGCCCUCCAUAGCUGGGGAUGGAGGACAUAUUGUAACAGGUUCGAUUGAAAACUAUCUCAGAGGGAAGGUGCUUCAAAAAUCACUCCAGUUUAAUUGCAGAUGAAUUUUCUCUUUUUUUGGGGUCAUGUAUGCCCCCCCCAAAGGGCGUCGGCCCACCCAGCGACAGCUGCCUAUGCGGAUGACCCUAGGGCGCAUAUCCAGGGUUUCCUGUAGCUUCUCUCUCCAAAGAGCCCACCCACUACGUGCUGUAGGAGAGUAAAUCUGACUGAUGCACUUCUCCCAGCCCACCCCUGGAGGCACAGAAAGCUGCCAUCUUAAUUUGGUGCACUGGACUCUGCUAGUCGCAGUGACAUCAGCUGUCCACUAGGGGCAGCGCCAGACGAUCAGAAAAGUCUCGCCCUAUAUUAAGGCUUCUCCGUGUGUUCUGUUGUUCCGUCUCGUCUGGGGACUGCAAGCCCUCGUUAUAUUCCAAGGAUGUAGCUACUGUCAUGUCAUGGAAUCGGGACUCACAGAGGUGCAAAAAAAAAACAA